GUGGGUUCUGAUUUUCUCUUUCCGAAAGCAGGGUUGGGCCCUGAUUUUUCUAUUUUGUAAAAAUGUACAGAGUACUCAGAACAGCACAGCUGGUAGACAAAGUGAGGUUA